rnacentral:rRNA from 1 species
CAGAGGGUGCAAGCGUUGUUCGGAAUUACUGGGCGUAAAGCGCGCGCAGGCGGUCCUUUAAGUCUACCCGUGAAAUGCCGGAGCUCAACUCCGCGCACGCCGGGGGAUACUGGAGGACUGGAGACGAGUAGAGGCAAGCGGAAUUCCGGGUGUAGCGGUGGAAUGCGUAGAGAUCCGGAAGAACACCGGAGGCGAAGGCGGCUUGCUGGGCUUGGUCUGACGCUGAGGCGCGAAAGCGUGGGGAGCGAACAGGAUUAGAUACCCUGGUAGUCCACGCCGUAAACGAUGGGCACUAGACGCGGGUGGGAUCGACCCCUUCCGUGUCGCAGCUAACGCGCUAAGUGCCCCGCCUGGGGAGUACGGCCGCAAGGCUG